ACACGUGUGCUCUGCCGAACAAUUACAGCUGCGCGUAAAGUUCCAAACACGGCCCAGAGAUCCGGGGGCACGAGAGCCUUCGGAAAGGCUUUUCCACAGGAUUGAAGCACGUCCCCAAACCAGGAACACGGGUGGAGCCCUAGGUCACUGCUCACGGGUGCGCGCUGCUGUGCACACUGCACUCAAGAAGCAGGACGGGCCCCUCAGCACAAAACUGUCCCUCCCCAGACAACCGAUAAGGAAGCAACGGACUUCUGAGAGGCUGCCAAACUCUUUGAUUUCCCGCAGAACGUGGCGGAUUCCCAAUAAACGCAAGAUGCCGUGACUGA